rfam:Flavobacterium frigoris strain DSM 15719 genome assembly, contig: Ga0131223_102
GAAUAGCCCCGGUUGCAGCGGCAUCCUUUUUUUAUUUUCAAAAAAAGAUACAGCGAAAAACGGGACUCGAC